rnacentral:rRNA from 1 species
ACGCGACGUGCGUGCGUGUCGCUCGAUGCGUCGCGCUCGACCUCGCGUCGUGCGCGCGCGCACGGUGCGCGUGUACGCUUCGACGUCCGUGGAGGGCGUGCACUUCUCUCUCAGUAAUGCAUCGCGACCCGUUCGAUGUGGCGGUCUAAGCGCCGUCGUAACGCGGAGACCGGUGGUCGUGAUCGCAUUCCAUGCGACCGACCGUCGGACCGUGAUGGACGCCGACCGGUCGUCGGACGGUGUGUAUAAUGAAUCGCGCACGCGUCUCUCGUAGUACGCGUCCGGCCCGACGCGAGGUGCCGCCGUCGUCGUGUUCACACGGCGGGGGCCGGUGCCUGUCGUUGCUGCCGUGUCGUCUCGGACAGUGCGACGUAUCUGUCUGCGAUGAUUCCGUUUCGGGCACUCGCAGGACCCGUCUUGAAACACGGACCAAGGAGUCUAGCAGGUGUGCRAGUCAUUGAGAUUGUUUUGUAAACUGAAAGGCACAACGAARGUGAAKGUUUUCUCCUCCAUUUUGGUGGAUAGAGAGAACUAUGGGAGGAUGGAGCGUCGGUCUCGAUCGAUCUCUCGCACUCCCGAGGCGUCUCGUUUCCAAUCUGUGAAUGCAGGCGCGCUCUGAGCGCAGAUGCUGGGACCCGAAAGAUGGUGAACUAUGCCUGGUCAGGUCGAAGUCAGGGGAAACCCUGAUGGAGGACCGUA